UAGUCCACGCCCUAAACGAUGUACACUAGUUGUUGUGAGGCUAGACCUUGCAGUAAUGCAGUUAACACAUUAAGUGUACCGCCUGGGGAGUACGGUCGCAAGAUUAAAACUCAAAGGAAUAGACGGGGACCCGCACAAGCGGUGGAGCAUGUGGUUUAAUUCGACGAUACGCGAAGAACCUUACCUGGACUUGACAUAGAAAGAAUAACGCAGAGAUGUGAUAGUGCUAGCUUGCUAGAACUUUCAUACAGGUGCUGCACGGCUGUCGUCAGCUCGUGUCGUGAGAUGUUGGGUUAAGUCCCGCGACGAGCGCAACCCUUAUCCUUAGUUGCCAGCACAUAAUGGUGGGGACUCUAGGGAGACUGCCGGCGUAAGCCGCGAGAAAGGUGGGGACGACGUCAAAUCAUCAUGGCCUUUAUGCCUAGGGCUACACACGUGCUACAAUGGUGCAUACAGCGGGUAGCGAAAUCGCGAGGUGGAGCUAAUCUUGU
rnacentral:rRNA from 1 species